AGAAGGCCUGGACGACCCGCCUCUCUCCCCUGCACCCGACAGCCACAGCAGCAUGGACGACUUCGGGCGGUACCUCUCUUCACACAGCGCCUCCAUCCACAAGACCAUACUCUUCCUGGAGAGGGAGAGCAGCCAUCUGAGGGAGAGACAGACAGCUCUGCAGGCAGCCCAGACCAGCUCCACUCAGGUCCCCAGUCAUCAAGGAGGAGUGACUGAGGAAGUGAUAACAAACCUGCAGCAGGAAGCCAGGAAUGUUGCAGAGCUUCAGCGCACAGAGAGGAAACACUCUGCUGCGGAGGAAAGAGGAGCAGCUUCAGCAGGUGGAGAGCUCUAGAGCUGAGGAGCCGCACUUUGAGGAUUUGUCUCGGUUGGCUGGAGGCAGGAAGGCGACCUUUGAUGUGACUGAGUCAGACCUGAGCAGCCCGGUGGAUCCACCGGAUGGUGCAGGUAAUACAGAAUCAGAUGCUCCUAUAUCUGUUUAAAUGUGACCCCUUUAUGUUACACUUAAAUGAAUAAGGAAUAAAAUAAGUUUAGAGAAUAAUUUAAUGGAUUAC
rnacentral:lncRNA from 1 species